AUACGGAGGGUGCAAGCGUUACUCGGAAUCACUGGGCGUAAAGCGCGCGCAGGCGGGCUGAUAAGUUGGAUGUGAAAGCCUACGGCUCAACCGUAGAACUGCAUCCAAAACUGUCAGUCUAGAGUGUGGGAGAGGAUGAUGGAAUUAGUUGUGUAGGGGUAAAAUCCGUAGAGAUAACUAGGAAUACCAAAAGCGAAGGCAAUCUUCUGGAACACUACUGACGCUGAGGCGCGAAGGCGUGGGGAGCAAACGGGAUUAGAAACCCCGGUAGUCC
rnacentral:rRNA from 1 species